rnacentral:rRNA from 1 species
GAUGAACGCUGGCGGCGUGCCUAAUACAUGCAAGUCGAGCGAACAGACGAGGAGCUUGCUCCUCUGACGUCAGCGGCGGACGGGUGAGUAACACGUGGAUAACCUACCUAUAAGACUGGGAUAACUUCGGGAAACCGGAGCUAAUACCGGAUAAUAUAUUGAACCGCAUGGUUCAAUAGUGAAAGACGGUUUUGCUGUCACUUAUAGAUGGAUCCGCGCCGCAUUAGCUAGUUGGUAAGGUAACGGCUUACCAAGGCAACGAUGCGUAGCCGACCUGAGAGGGUGAUCGGCCACACUGGAACUGAGACACGGUCCAGACUCCUACGGGAGGCAGCAGUAGGGAAUCUUCCGCAAUGGGCGAAAGCCUGACGGAGCAACGCCGCGUGAGUGAUGAAGGUCUUCGGAUCGUAAAACUCUGUUAUUAGGGAAGAACAAAUGUGUAAGUAACUAUGCACGUCUUGACGGUACCUAAUCAGAAAGCCACGGCUAACUACGUA